GACGAACGCUGGCGGCGUGCUUAACACAUGCAAGUCGAACGGAAAGGCCUCUUUCGGCGGGUACUCGAGUGGCGAACGGGUGAGUAACACGUGAGUAACCUGCCCUUGACUUUGGGAUAACUUCAGGAAACUGGGGCUAAUACCGGAUAGGAGCUCCUGCUGCAUGGUGGGGGUUGGAAAGUUUCGGCGGUUGGGGAUGGACUCGCGGCUUAUCAGCUUGUUGGUGGGGUAGUGGCUUACCAAGGCUUUGACGGGUAGCCGGCCUGAGAGGGUGACCGGCCACAUUGGGACUGAGAUACGGCCCAGACUCCUACGGGAGGCAGCAGUGGGGAAUAUUGCACAAUGGGUGGAAGCCUGAUGCAGCAACGCCGUGUGCGGGAUGACGGCCUUCGGGUUGUAAACCGCUUUCGCCUGUGACGAAGCGUGAGUGACGGUAAUGGGUAAAGAAGCACCGGCUAACUACGUG
rnacentral:rRNA from 1 species